CAAUAGCGUAUAUUUAAGUUGUUGCAGUUAAAAAGCUCGUAGUUGGAUUUCGGUUAAGAGCGACCGGUCCGCCGUUUGGUGUGCACUGGUUGGUUUUAACUUCCUGUAGAGGACGUGCUCUGGGUUUAACGACCUGGACUCGGAGUCUACGUGGUUACUUUGAAAAAAUUAGAGUGUUCAAAGCGGGCUUACGCUUGAAUAUUUCAGCAUGGAAUAACACUAUAGGACUCCUGUCCUAUUUCGUUGGUCUCGGGACGGGAGUAAUGAUUAAGAGGAACAGUUGGGGGCAUUCGUAUUUCGUUGUCAGAGGUGAAAUUCUUGGAUUUAUGAAAGACGAACUUCUGCGAAAGCAUUUGCCAAGGAUGUUUUCAUUAA
rnacentral:rRNA from 1 species